AUAGCUGAGAGCAUCAGCUGAGGUGGUGGCACCUCUGAGAAAACAUAUUUAAGAAAGAACAGAAUACCACAUGGGCAGUGAGGAUUGAGGAAAAAUGUGUGAGAAGCAAUCCUGCAAACACUGAGAUCUGAGAAGAAGGAGGGGGAGGACGCGCCCCAGGGGCUAGAGCAGAGAUUUGCCUGACACGAGUGAAAGAACCAUGGUACAGCAGGUAUUUCCCUGCAGCCUGUGGAGGAUCCCACAUCAGAGCAGGUGAAUAUGCCUGAAGGAACUGCAGCCUGAAGGACUGGAGAAGGUUCACCCUGAAGGACCAUGGAGGACCCAUGUUGGAAAAGGGAAAAAGUCCAAGGAGGAAGGAGCUGCAGGGAACUGUUAUGCACUGACCACAAGCCUCCAUUUCCCAUGCCUCUGCAUCACUCAGGGGAGUGAACUGGAGAGAAGAGUCAAAAACUGAGCAAAAAUAAGGUGCUUCCUAUGGAUAAAAUAGUGGACAACUAGGGAUUCACACAGACCAACCUCGGCCUUGGGAGAUGAACCUCCCUUGGUCUAUGAUAUAUGUGCUCUUCCUGGGGGCAGUUCAGAGCUGAAUGACGAAAUAAAUGAAGUCUUCACAAUUUA